rnacentral:lncRNA from 1 species
AAACAUAAAUGACUUAUCAGAAGUUACAUUACAACUUUCUUUAUGAAUCUAAUGAGAGAAUGUUUCUUUGGCUCAGACGCUUUUUCCAUGUUCUCUGCUUCACCCCAUAUCAGAUAUACUAUUGUGUUUUUGACCAUCAAUCCAUUACCGAAAUUCACAAAAAUCUCCACAUUGUCUCCAGAUUCUAAAUUUGACAUUAUGCCAUGCCAAUCUUCAUCUUUAAAGGAAAUUGCUAUGCCAUGGUUGUGUAUCUGGAAUGUACACUUUGUGUAAUUAACAAUUACGACUGUAGUAAAUUCAGGUUUAAUGAUCUUAGGAGUUGAUAAAUAAACAACACACAAAAUCAUUCCUUUCAUAUCACCAUCUUCAGGCACAAUGAAAGAAACAGAGUGUCCCUCACCCAUAUGGGCCAUACAAUAUGGAUCAUUCACAGCUGGGAGACAAACAUCACAAGACUCACUGCUUGACAAUACCUGCACCAUAACAAAAUGUUUAGUCAUUUAUCUAAUUUUUCUAUUCAAAAUGUCUUCUAUAGUCAUUAUUUUUACAUUAAUAAUUACAAUGUGGGCAUUUAUAAUCAAACAAAAAACAAUGCAGUACAUAAUCAAAACAUACCAAUGGUAAUUAAUCUAAACAAAUCUCAUUAAUACUUUUGUUCUGUAUGUAUCAUCAUUACGUCGUUAGUGAUUUACAAAAGAUUUAUGUUUUUGUCUCUUUUAGUAUAUUUCUACCACGAUUGGAAAUAUAACAAUAGUGAAGCCAGUAAAGGAAAGUAAGAAAGUAUUGAAAUAAAAGAAAUAUCAUUUGAUUAGUUGAUUACCAAAAUCAGAAACUUCUAGACGAGGUUCUAUGGUAAUAGGAAUUAAGCAUGUUGUUCUUACCUUGUCUAACAGUUAUAUUAAAGAGCGCCAUCCUAUAAGAUCUUUUAAAUCUCUUCGUUAUAGAACACUUAACCUAUAUAUAUUUUGAUCAUGUUUCUAUAUUAUAACUAAAUAUCCGUAGAUUAAUAUGUUGGUUAUUAUUAUAUUAUUAUAUUUUCUAAGUAAGUACAAUUUUAAUAGGAAUAUAAAUUUACUAUGUUAAUUCUAUAAAUACAACUAAUAUUUUUGAAGAAAUACUUACUUCAUAAACAAUCACUUUAUUCUAAAAUAUUCUAACUCCCUCAGAGACUGUUUUGAGAUGGAUCUCGUAUCUCAAAAGCAAGAAGACUCUUUUCAAACAAAAGAUCCAUAUAAUAACAAGUGCUAAAAUUGAUUAUUGUAGUUGACUCAGAUAUUUCAUUAGGAUUAUUUUAUGUUCUCUUGAUUAAUAACUAAAAUGAUAUAGUGAAGGUAAGAAACAAAGGCAAAGCUAGAGAAUAACCUCAGAUAUGUUAUCGCUGACAGCAUUGAAGAGCUGAUGGUAUGCUCCAACACCAAUCAAAGAACACCUGAAGUGCUGCUUUGAAAUUCCUGAUUCUGUAAUAUUCGAGAAAUAUUCAACCAAAAAAUUUUUAACUUGCUUUGAUAAUUGAAAUUCGGUGUCACAUACUACCAAAACACUUCGAAUAUUUGCAAGGGUGCUAAGCAAUGGUGCAAUAUCAAUCGUAUUAUCCUCNGUAUCCAUGCAAAACGAAUGAAUAUAAGAAAUGGGAUUCAUUAUUGGGGACAUCCAAGACCGAAUGAUAGAAGGAAAAAGAUUAUGAGAUAAUCCCUCAAAUCCACGUAGGGAUAUAUAUCCAAUGCUUUUCGAGCUUACAAUUGAAAAAGGCACUUCUUUCACAACUGUAUUUUCAGCAAUUAGAGUUAUCAAGGAUCCCAACUUUGCUAUAUCUUUAUCCAUUAUGUGAAUCUUGGAACAACCAGAGAGAAUGAAGGUUCUUAAAGAUUUCAACUCAUAUAUCUCUGUUGGAAGAUUGUUUAGACUUGUACAGUCUUUCAAAUUUAGCAGUAUAAGACUGUUGAGUGAUCCAAUAGAUUGGUGCACUUUGCUCAAUCUCGAACAAUAUUUCAAAAUGAGAUGUUCAAGACUUGGUAAUCCGGUAAAGUCAGGGGUUGUAGUUAAAUGCUUGGAGUGACUGAGGUUAAGGACUUUUAGUGAUGUCAUAACCUGUACCAAGAUAGUUUUUCAUUUUAGACAUAUUAGAGUACAAAUUAAAAAUGAAGCAAUAGCAAGCUACUAAUUUAUUUGAAUUAAGUUGUAUUUUAAGGAGAAGUGGGUGGUAAUAAAACCUGGGGUGUUUUCCAGAGAAAUCGAAGAAGACUGCGUUUUAAAUCAAUAGCUAUUACAUCAUGCUGAUAAAAGUUGUUAGGUAGACGUUCUGAAGAAAGUCCAUGCGAACUGAUCCAUCUUAGUUUCUUAAGAAGGUACUCAGAAUUUACAGUCGGUUGUACACUUUCGAAGGGAGUGAAAACUGAAGGCUGUUUCACAGGCAACCACUGCUUGGCUUCUGUCCCCUGUGAUGAAAAUUCCAAAUAUAAAUAAAUAAAUGUAAUGCAGAGGAGAAAGAAAACGCUUUCAAAAGAAGUUUGAAACCACAUGUAAAGAAUGUUCUUACAUAUUUCGUAUCCUUAUCAAACCACAGUCGCCUGUUCUUCCCAAGAUCCUUUCCUGAAUUUUUCUGAAUAAUUCUUAUUCCGAUCUCUUGUAGCAAAGGAUGCAUUCCUAAUUUGUUGUUCUUGUUAAUUUUGAUGAGGNUACGCUCGAUGAGAACUCUUAUUCCAUUAUCAGCGUCUACUCCACAGCCAUUUAGGAUCUUCGUAACAUAGGCUCUGCUCUUACCAAUAAAGAAACAACAUAUAUCAAGGAAUAUAUCUUUUUCCAUUUCAUUCAGUGAACCUUCGAUGCUUAGUUUUAUUAUCUCUGGAUCAGGAAGCAAGCCAUCUAUCGCAAACAAUGAACUGUUCCAUUCUUUUUUGGUCUUUUCAAACAAAGUACUUCCAACGACUUCAAGAGCUAGAGGUAAUCCUCCACAAUAACUAACUACUCUUCUUGCAAGGUCUUCGUAUUCUUCUUUCGGUUUUGGUUCUCUAAAUGCGUGCCAACUAAGAAGCUCAAGGGACUCUUCUUCGUUCAUUCGCUCUACCCAAAAGUCAGAAUUAGCUUGAUCACUUAUAUGUAUUCCAUAUGUUGAUGUAACUAUUAUAACAGUUCCUUCAACUAAUAAUUUAAGACAAUCCCUUAGGUCGAAUAAAUUAUUAGAGUAAUUAACAUCGUCAAGUACAAUCAAAACCCUUUUUCCUAAAAGUCUUUCCCGAAUCAUAGUUUUUCCCACAUCAACGCUAGGAAUCUCCACCUCUUGUUUUAGGACAUCUAAAAGAAGUUGUUCUUGUAAACGAAGAAGCCCUCUUGUUCCGCUAACAUGUGAAAUAUUUUCAAUGAAACUUUUGUCCUUGAAUUUCCAAUGAAUUUGAUUGUAGAUGGCUUUGGCAAGAGUGGUUUUACCAGAUCCUUCUUCUCCACUUAUCUCUAUUAUACAAACUUCAGUGGAUUUAUUUUUGAUAGUUCGAAUCAGAUCUUCCACAUGGGAUUGCAAUCCAACUGGAAAUUUAGUAGCAGACAAGACUGGUAAAUUAACAACGCUCUUAACAAUUUUGUCCACUAACUCAGCAUCACUCCUUCAAGUUCAAAAGCAGUAAUAGAAGAAGUCAUGUAUUAAGAAAAUGAAAUCGGAGGCUUAAAAGAUGAUUGAUUGAGUGAGUGAUGUACCUGUGAUUGCUCUCAUCCCAUCCAAACAAAUUUGCAGCUUUGGUGAGUGCAUGGCUCCACCUGGACAUUCCAUGCUCAAGUUCUUGUCCUGAAAAUGUUUGUUGAGCAGUUGCCUUCAAGGCUUUUCCAAAGUCACCCUUCUGAAAACGUACAUCAGAUGGCUGGAUUUCAUAAUAUACAGGCAGAACAUGUCGGCAAUAAGUUUCGUGCCAGUCGAUGAUUUGUUGAAGCUGAUGAAGACACCAAGCAGAUUGAGAAUAGGUUUGGGUGAAAACAACAAUUGUUACACGACAGUGGCUGAGAAUAGGUUCUUGGAUGUGUGUUGACUUCACUGCAUUGGGGUAAAGAAGGAAAGUGGUGAGAGGAACAGUAGAGAGGGCAGAAUUGGUUACUCUAUAUAUCUUGGCUCUUCACUUAUUUCAUGGAAAUCGAAGAAAUAAGCCACUGUAUCCAAAAGUUCCUCAGAAGUUGAAUACAGAGCUCUUGCCACAGCUACUUACGAAAUUCAAUGGUUAACUUUUCUUCUACAGGAUCUUCACGUAACUUUUCAACAACCAGCAGUCUUAGUCUGUGAUAACAAUUAUGCCCUUCAUAUUGCUGCAAAUCCAGUUUUUCAUGAAUGCACGAAACAUUGAAAUAUAUUGUCAUAUUGUAAGGGAAAAGCUUUCUCCUGGCUUACUUAAACUACGUACUAUCGAUUCCUUCUGCAUGCCAGUUAGCUGAUAUCUACACCAAAGGACUUUCACCAGCAGCUUUCAAAUUUCUGGUUUCCAAGUGGGAAUGAUUGACAUUCAUUCUCCAGCUUGAGGGGGCUGUUAGGAUUCAAUAUAUGUUAGGAUUUAAUAUCUUGUUAGGAUUUAAUAUAUGUUAAGAUUUAAUAUCUUGUUAGGUUUUAAGAUCUUGUUUGUUAUUAUUUUUGUUUGUUAUUAUUCUGUAUAUAUUAUUGAUAGAUUAGAUAGAGUUAUAACUAAUUUUGUUAUAAUCUUGAUGUAUAAAUAUUUACAUCUGCAUGUUGAGAUAAUACACUGACUAUUGUUUUACCUCCUUGUUUUUCCAUUAUAUAUUGCAAUUUCUAUACUUGGUGGUUUGAAUGAUGAUUCUCAUUAUUUAAGACCUGCUGCAAAAUUCCUGAUUUUGUAAUAGUAGCAAAAUAUUCAACCAAAAUAUUUUUCACUUGCUUAGACAAUUGAAAAUCGAUGUCACAUGCUACCAAAACACUUCUUUCUUUAGGCUUUAAUUAGCUUGUGUGGAUUGAAAAGCUAUGACAUUAGGCUUUAAUUUCAUGCAUCCCACAAUUUCUUUCUUUCUUCGUGCAUCCCUACAAACUUUUAAAACAACCAUUUUAUCCUCUGGAAAUGACUUCCAAAGUAUAUAUUUCAAAAGUUUUCCCAAACAAAGAUUGUGGAGUUUUCGAAAUAAUAUUUCUGAAAUAAAAUUUUCUGAACAGAAUUUUUGAAAUGAAAUUUUAAAAUGUGAUUUUCCAAACAGAAUUUUCAGAAUGUGUUUUGAAAUAUAUAAUUCCAAAUGAGAUUUUUUAAAAGGAUUUUGUAAAACUCAUAAUAUCUUCCGGAACACUUACAUGAAAUGUAUUAUGAAAAGAUUUGUUCGAAAUAAGUGAGAUACAUCUUUUGAAAAUAAUUUUUUUUUUUCUGCAUUUUUUUCUCUUCUUUUUCUUUUGUAGUGUUUUCUUCCUUCUUCCUCUGCAGCAUUGUGACUGUAACAAUGAAUAUAAUGUAGGGCAUUAAUAGAAGAUGGUUAAGUCUUUUCCUCAUGUUAUGGGGUGCAGUUAAUAAUUCUGGGAGUACGGGAAAUAAUAUGAAAUUAACAUAAGCUUUGUUCCGUAUAUCACUGUCGACCACUUUUCACACCUCUAUAAUACAGAGAGAUCAUUCUUUGCCCAUGAUUUGAUGGGUGCCAAUUUUGAAAAAGAAAAGAAAAGAUAAGAAAAGGAAAAUCAUCGAUGAUCCUUAAUAAGUGUUUUUAUGCUAUCAUUUUAUUGCAUUUUCAAAAUCUUUUUGACUUUAAUAUUUUAAAACAUAUCAAUAAUUUUUUAAAAGCACACUAAAGAAACAAUAGCACAAGUUUAAAAAAAAAAACUUGGACUAAAAAAAUACGUCUUCAUAUGCAUUUAUCAUAAAAUCACACUUGAAAUAUAUAGUUUUUUUUAAGUGUUUUGAGAGUUUGAUGUUAUUAAUCUAUAUUCUUAUUUUUAAAGAAAAUUGUUACCUUAUUUGUUUAAAGAAAAUUACAUUAUUUUUAAUUUUUUGUUGUUAUUUACCAUAUCUGAAACACUUAAUGAAAUUUUUUAUGAUUCUACUGAAUUCUUGACUUAAUUUCUUUUAAGAGUGAAUGAAUUAUUCUUAUUCAAAUAAAAAUGUCAAUAUUUUGUGUCAAAAUGUUGUCACAUAUAUUUCUUAACAGCUGCCUUUAUUUCAUAAAGAAUAUCCUUUUUUUCUUUAAGAGAAAUUCUUGAUGAGGUAUUAUAUGCUCAAAGGGAAAAGAAUUCACAAAUGUAACCAUAAGAUAAUUCAAGUGAAGCCAAGGCAACACAACGCCAGGAGUGAGAAGCAUGACUUAAACAAACAUGAAUUUUUUAACUGUACGUUAUACUUUAAGGAAAAAGAGGAAAGGAUGCGAAAAUAUAAAUAGUAAUCAAGAACAAUAGGAUUAUUUAUUUCCAUCACUAAAUGAUAACGCUGUUCUCAAAAAACAUAAAUGACUUAUCAGAACUCACAUUACAACUUUCUUUAUGAAUCUAAUGAGAGAAUGUUUUUUUGUCUCAGACGCUUUUUCCAUGUUCUCUGAUUCACCCCGUAUCAGAUACACCGUUGUGUUCUUGACCACCAAUCCAUUACCAAAGUUCACAAAUAUCUCCACAUUGUCUCCACAUUCUAAAUUUGACAUUAUGCCAUGCCAAUCUCCAUCUUUAAAAGAAAUUGUUGUGCCAUGGUUGUGUAUAUGGAAUGUGCACUUUGUGUAAUUAACAAUUACGACAGUAGUAAAUUGAGGUUCAAUGAUCUUAGGAGUUGAUAAAUAAACAACACAAAAAAUCAUUCCUUUCAAAUCACCAUCUUCAGGCACAACGAAAGAAACAGAGUGUCCCUCACCCAUAUGGGCCAUACAAUAAGGAUCAUUCACAGCUGGGAGACAAACAUCACCAGACUCACUGCUUGACAAUACCUGCACCAUAAUAUAAAAGGUUUGGUCAUUUCUCUAAUUUUUCUAUUCAAAUUGUCUUCUAUAAUCACUAUUUUAACAUUAAUAAUUACAAAGUGAGCACUUAUAAUCAAACAAACAACAAUUCAGUACAUAAUCAAAACAUACCGAUGGUAAUUAAUCUAAACAAAUCUAAUUGAUAGUUUUGUUCUACAUGUAUCAUCAUUAAGUCGUUACUGAUUUACAAUGCAUUUGUGUUUUUGUCUCUAUUAGAAUAUUUCUACGACGAUUGGAAAUAUAACCAU